GCAGGCAGCUUGCCACCCUCUGCUGUGACCAUAUCUUGACCACCCUCGCCCCCAGGGACAGGUGCUCUUCAUUCGCUGCUACCAUGUGGGAACAGCCAUGACUAACGCAGAAUCUUGUUUAAAAAGAGCAUUUACAUUUUUCCCUAUAAACCUUAAGCUUCAUUUCCCACUGCCUGUUGAGGCUUUCUGCGCUAGUGAAACGACAGGAAGAGGUGUAUACUGAACAUAAAUUCAUACAAAAAAGUGUGCAUAGCAUAGAUGUGAAGCCCUGUGAAUUGUCCCAACAAACCCAGGCACAGCCAUAACAAGCAGCAAGACCCCCCGCCCCCGACACACACACGCUUUAACUCACCUGAAGGGUAAGUGAAGGGAAUUCAUUAUCCUGACUUCACCAUCCCAGGUUAGUGUUGGCCAACAGGGAGACCUUUAAAGUCCUGGAUAUGCCUUAACAGGGGCAGUGUACAAUUUAACCCCUAGGGCAAGCGAGUGGGAGAAUCCAUGACCUUACACUCCGGCUCUGGCUUGAAUGGGACCUUCAGGGUGGGAGAGCGACUUUGGUGUCCGAAAAUCCACCUCUGGAACCACGCGAGAGUAGAGCAGAGUAAUGUUUCCGGUGCAUCCUGUGGGCCUGCUCCCUCCUGCUCGGUGUCCUUAUCCGGGAGGCUGUCCGAGAAGAAGCUGGUGACUUGACCAUGGACUUUCCAGGCCCUGUGACAGUGGACCUUUGACACACCUGGCCCCAGCCACACCUGC
rnacentral:lncRNA from 1 species